UUAACUGCAUAUGAUGUAUUAUUUUCUUUGAUAAUAUUGAGAAUUUAACGGGUUGUGUGUUCUUAUAGAUACUGACGGACUGAUUGUAUUAUUGGACUCUCCAGAAAGAACACAGUCUGUCACAGUUGUAAGUGAUUUGUUGUCAGGUACUUUUAGGGUUUUUUAUUUUUUGCCAAAUAAUGUAUACUUGAAUAUUUGUCUUGUAGGAUGAAGAUGAUGAUGACGAUGAAGAGACCACAUCUGCUGUGACAGAAGUGGACAAUGCUGUACAUACCUAGGGAUUUGCCCACUGAUGAGGGUCCUUCAGCCUCAGCACACAAUCUAAGCAGGUUGCCAGCAAAGGAGCUGUAUAAGGUCCAUCUUCAAAAACAAAUAAGAAAAAGUGACAUGGAGAUGGACCUUAUACAGCUUCAAAUGGAAGAGAAAAGGCUCCUCAUUAAAAAAGCAGCACUUGAAAUAGAAUUACUUGAGGAUCGCCUUAAGGUGAGAACUUGUCUGAAUAUUAAUCUGUUGCAUGUUAAAAGUGGUCUGUCUGUCUGUGUCUAUCUAUCUAUCUAUCUAUCUAUCUA